AUGUUUUCACGUAUCCAUUUUUUGUAUGGGAAUGUCAUUCAGAUAUAUUUCCUAGCAUAUCUGAACUUGCUUGGGACGAAAUGCUACUGUUGUUGUAAUGUCAUUCAGUUAUAUUUUAUUAAUAGAUCACAUCAGGAGCAUGUUCAUGCUGUUAGGUUAACAGAUCUGCAUAGCUGUAGGGAUGAACAUUUAAUCUCUGUAUUAUGUUUUAAGAGAAUGAUACAGACAGAUUUGCAGACUAUCAUAGCCAACCAGAGAAAACACAGUUGCGUUGUAUUAUUGUCUCGUUGA
rnacentral:rRNA from 1 species